rnacentral:rRNA from 1 species
CCUACGGGAGGCAGCAGUAGGGAAUAUUGCUCAAUGGGGGAAACCCUGAAGCAGCAACGCCGCGUGGAGGAUGACGGUUUUCGGAUUUUAAACUCCUUUUGUUAGAGAAGAUAAUGACGGUAUCUAACGAAUAAGCACCGGCUAACUCCGUGCCAGCAGCAGCGGUAAUACGGAGGGUGCCAGCGUUACUCGGAAUCACUGGGCGUAAAGAGCGCGUAGGCGGGUUAGCAAGUCAGAUGUGAAAUCCUAUGGCUUAACCAUAGAACUGCAUUUGAAACUGUUAUUCUAGAGUAUGGGAGAGGUAGGUGGAAUUCGUGGUGUAGGGGUAAAAUCCGUAGAGAUCAAGAGGAAUACUCAUUGCGAAGGCGACCUGCUAGAACAUAACUGACGCUGAUGCGCGAAAGCGUGGGGAGCAAACAGGAUUAGAUACCCUGGUAGUC